rnacentral:rRNA from 1 species
AUUGAACGCUGGCGGCAUGCCUAACACAUGCAAGUCGAACGGAGGUAGGGGCAACUCUACUUCAGUGGCGGACGGGUGAGGGAAUGCGUCGGAAUCUACCCGUAUGGUGGGGGAUAACACAGGGAAACUUGUGCUAAUACCGCAUAAUGUCGAGAGACCAAAAGCAGGGGACCGCAAGGCCUUGCGCGAUAGGGAUGAAGCCGACGCCCGAUUAGCUAGUUGGUAGGGUAAAGGCCUACCAAGGCGACGAUCGGUAGCUGGUCUGAGAGGAUGAUCAGCCACACUGGGACUGAGACACGGCCCAGACUCCUACGGGAGGCAGCAGUGGGGAAUAUUGGACAAUGGGCGCAAGCCUGAUCCAGCAAUGCCGCGUGUGUG